rnacentral:rRNA from 1 species
CCUACGGGAGGCAGCAGUGGGGAAUAUUGGACAAUGGGCGAAAGCCUGAUCCAGCAAUGCCGCGUGAGUGAAGAAGGCCUUCGGGUUGUAAAGCUCUUUUACCCGGGAAGAUAAUGACUGUACCGGGAGAAUAAGCUCCGGCUAACUCCGUGCCAGCAGCCGCGGUAAUACGGAGGGAGCUAGCGUUGUUCGGAAUUACUGGGCGUAAAGCGUACGUAGGCGGCUUUGUAAGUCAGAGGUGAAAGCCCACGACUCAAUCGUGGAACUGCCUUUGAGACUGCUUCGCUUGAAGAUGGGAGAGGUUAGUGGAAUUCCGAGUGUAGAGGUGAAAUUCGUAGAUAUUCGGAAGAACACCAGUGGCGAAGGCGGCUAACUGGACCAUUCUUGACGCUGAGGUACGAAAGCGUGGGGAGCAAACAGGAUUAGAUACCCUGGUAGUCCACGCCGUAAACGAUGAUAACUAGCUGUCGGGGCUCUUGGAGCUUCGGUGGCGCAGCUACGACAUUAAGUUAUUCCGUCCGUCGGGUAGGUACGGUCCGGCGAACGGUUAAACGUUAAACGGUAAAGUUAGUACGGACGUGAGACGUGCGACGACGACGACGAGGGAGUAGG